rnacentral:rRNA from 1 species
UACGUAGGUGGCAAGCGUUAUCCGGAUUUAUUGGGUUUAAAGGGAGCGUAGGCGGUUUUGUAAGUCAGUGGUGAAAGACGGUCGCUCAACGAUCACAUUGCCAUUGAUACUGCAAGGCUAGAGUACAGUAGAGGUGGGCGGAAUUUAUGGUGUAGCGGUGAAAUGCAUAGAUACCAUAAAGAACACCGAUUGCGUAGGCAGCUCACUGGACUGUAACUGACGCUGAGGCACGAAAGCGUGGGGAGCAAACAGG